rnacentral:rRNA from 1 species
GUGCCAGCCGCCGCGGUAAUACCGGCAGCCCGAGUGAUGGCCGAUCUUAUUGGGCCUAAAGCGUCCGUAGCUGGCCGCGCAAGUCCAUCGGGAAAUCCACCCGCCCAUCGGGUGGCCGUCCGGUGGAAACUGCACGGCUUGGGACCGGAAGGCGCGACGGGUACGUCCAGGGUAGGAGUGAAAUCCCGUAAUCCUGGACGGACUACCGAUGGCGAAAGCACUUUGAGAAGACGGCUUCGACAGUGAGGGACGAAAGCUCGGGUCUCAAACCGGAUUAGAUACCCGAGUAGUCC